UCUCUCUCUCUCUCUCUCUCUCUCUCUCUCUCAGCAGCACAGCUGUCCGACGCAGUGACGGCCCAUCUUCACUUGACCUCAGACGGCAUCUUUACCAUUUUUCACACUGAAUCUAUUUCUGAACCUCUACUCUGUCCAGUGAUCUGUUGCUUGUGCCCUGGUGGUCAUGCUGGGUCCAUGUUCAAUUUUACGACAAAUUUUAGUAUCUAGUAUGGUUAGUCUUCAUGAGAACCAAAUGAGGGAUACACGCAAAGCAUUCAUAACAGUGCCUGUUCAGGUGACAAUUAACCUACCUGCCUACCAGCUCGUCUCAACCCUUGUCAUGUGACACUCUUGCUGGGAUUUUCCUUGAUGACCACCAUUGGCAGCUGCGUGGAAAGCAGGCGUUUAUACAAUUUUGGUCCCUCGUUCUCCUCCCCACAUGGUGGAGGCUUUAAAGACUCAGAUUCUCCUCUGUGGAUAUGAAUUCCACAUUUGUUUUCAUCUUAAUUCUGUCGACUAAUGGGCUCCAUGCUCACUGCCGAUUCUGCAGCUACAGAUUCUGCUUUUACUGCUCCGACGACCAAACUUCUCCCUGCAGAAGAGCUCAUGAGAGCUGAAUUUUCUGAAGCCUGACAUAUUAAUUCCUGGACUAAUCUUUCCUGGAGGACUUGGUAAAGUACUAAACGUUGCCUAUGGGGAGUCUGGGGCCAGCCACCGACUCUGGAGCACAGUGCUCGUCUGGCUUUGCUGGGGCUCUGCAGCCACAGGUGUGGCAUCCUGAGGUCUUUCCAUACACUUGUUCAACCUUCACCAGAUCUGGCAGCCUCUAUACAGCGUGCUUUGAGACUUGCCCCCUGGUCGUGUUGAAGAUGAAACUGGAACUCGCUUUCUCACUCCACCUCCGUUCUAUGGUGUCAGAAGAGAAAGGAGGAGCUGUUGCAGUAAGGGGCUAUUUCUGCUACUCAGUGACUUUGACCUUAACCAUCUGUGAACACACGGAAGGACAGAGCAAAGCGGGGAGAGAACCCCAUGUCCCCAUCACUCACUACAGCAGUUACCAACAUUUUGUCAAAAUCAGUUUAUCCAGACCCACCUCAUUUGCUUUCUUCUAACCCCAGAGUUAGUCAGUCAGUCCCUUCCUCCCCUUUCUCUCCUUCCCAGACCCCCUCCUCUGUCUCUGUCUCUGUCUCGCUUGAUAUAUAGAAAAUACAGUCCCUUACAGGCAAAGCUGGCCUGGAACUUGCUAUGUAGUCUGAACUCCUGAUCCUCUUGCCCUCCUCUCUAUGUCUUAUGUGCUGGGAUCAUAAGCAUGCAGCAUCAUGCCUCCUCCCCACCCAACAUCUUAAAAGACACCGAACUAUCAAAACCCUUCACCUGAAGAGAGUUCAGACAACAUUUGCUGGAACACUGUAAAAACUAGAAGGCCUCUAUGAUUUUACAAAUUAUCCUCAGCA